rnacentral:rRNA from 1 species
UGACAACCAGGAGGUUGGCUUAGAAGCAGCCAUCCUUUAAAGAAAGCGUAAUAGCUCACUGGUCAAGACAGGCCGCGCCGAAAAUGUAACGGGGCUCAAGACUAGUGCCGAAGCUUCGGGUCAUGCGUAAAGCGCAUGGCGGUAGGGGAGCGUCCCAGUUGCAGCGAAGGUCGACUGAAAAGGCGGCUGGAGCGACUGGGAGUGCUGAUGCCGAAAUGAGUAGCGAUAAAGGGGGUGAGAAACCCCCUCGCCGUAAACCCAAGGUUUCCUGGGUCAAGUUAAUCUUCCCAGGGUUAGCCGGAACCUAAGCCGAGGCCGAAAG